GGUUUGACUAUGAUAUUUUGUGUGAUGAGUAUUGUUUUAUAAUGCUUUAUUAAAUUGAUUGAUGUUGAGAUGAUGCAUGAGGUGCUGAUAUACACGUGGUUUCUCACAAUAUGUGUGAAACAGAUGCAUGAUGGUAAGAUUGUGAUUGAGAUACUGAGCAGGAUGUUUAUCUAAAUUCUGGAACUCUGAAUUAGCCUGUGUGGGG
rnacentral:lncRNA from 1 species